UGGGGAAUAUUGGACAAUGGGCGAAAGCCUGAUCCAGCCAUGCCGCGUGUGUGAAGAAGGUCUUGGAUUGUAAAGCACUUUAAGUUGGGAGGAAGGGCAUUAACCUAAUACGUUAGUGUUUUGACGUUACCGACAGAAUAAGCACCGGCUAACUCUGUGCCAGCAGCCGCGGUAAUACAGAGGGUGCAAGCGUUAAUCGGAAUUACUGGGCGUAAAGCGCGCGUAGGUGGUGUGUUAAGUUGGAUGUGAAAUCCCCGGGCUCAACCUGGGAACUGCAUUCAAAACUGACUGACUAGAGUAUGGUAGAGGGUGGUGGAAUUUCCUGUGUAGCGGUGAAAUGCGUAGAUAUAGGAAGGAACACCAGUGGCGAAGGCGACCACCUGGACUAAUACUGACACUGAGGUGCGAAAGCGUGGGGAGCAAACA
rnacentral:rRNA from 1 species